AACGAACGCUGGCGGCAUGCCUAACACAUGCAAGUCGAACGAUACCUUCGGGUCUAGUGGCUCAUGGGUGCGUAACGCGUGGGAACCUGCCCUUAGGUUCGGAAUAACUCCCCGAAAGGGGUGCUAAUACCGGAUAAUUUCUUCGGACCAAAGAUUUAUCGCCUUUGGAUGGGCCCGCGUUUGAUUAGCCUGUUGGUAGGGUAAAAGCCUACCAAGGCGACGAUCCAUAGCUGGUCUGAGAGGAUGAUCAGCCACACUGGGACUGAGACACGCCCAGACUCCUACGGGAGGCAGGAGUGGGGAAUAUUGGAAAAUGGGCGAAAGGCUGAACCAGCAAUGCUGGGUGAGUGAUGAAGGCGUGAGGGUUGUAAAGCUCUUUUACCCGGGAUGAUAAUGACAGUACCGGGAGAAUAAGCUCCGGCUAACUCCGUG
rnacentral:rRNA from 1 species